rnacentral:lncRNA from 1 species
GUGACCAGACCCUUAAGUAAAUGUUGCACUCAUAUUUAAGAUCGUAUUCAGAAAUGCUUGGCUCUCCCACUACGACUAUUUUCAAAGGACACAGAGAUGGUUAGUUGGCUUCUCAAGAAUCAAGAGUGUUUCUCCUAUUAAUGAUGCAGAAACCCUGUUAAUCUCCUAUUAGAAUCAUAAAAAAAAAAAAACUCAUUUCAACCAGAACCUCUAGAAAGUAGCGAAAACGCGGAGCUAAAGUGUUUCAGAUUACAGUUAGAUGCAGGAAGUUUUACAGAGUACUAAGUAACGAAACAUUGUGAUCUUAUGGUAAAUCACGAAUCCCUUUGCCUUCAUGGUAUCAUUUUCUACUCUUGAGGUCACUUUCCUGUCCUCCCCUCCUAGGCUGAUUGGUGUCAGUCGUAGAUAUUAAUGAGCUUUGCAACCCCGUCCAGCAUUAUUCUGUAUCUUGACAUGGGACGGUAAGAUUCCUUGUAACUGUACUGGGUAUCGAUAACUCAAUAGAUUGGUCUCAAAGGUACUCGUAUAUAUUAUAGGGCGUCGAGCGCGUGCUGUUGCUAUCUGCCCAAGUUCCACGUAUUUGUAGUUACUCUUCUAGUGGUGGCAGCGACUAAUCCCAUGUGUUGUAAUAAUCACACAUAAAUCAAUAACAAGAGAGAGAGAGAGAGAGAGAGAGAGAGAGAGAGAGGAUCACCUUGUGUUUAGGGUGGCUGACUAUUGUUACAAGACAGGGACACUGAAUAGAGCAGCUUUUUGGAUAGGAAUGACUUCACAGUGCAGCAGUGACUUUCUACCUUGGCUAGAAUUGUUGUGCUGAAUAUGUACAACCAAUAAUUAAAGACGUUUUAUGUAAAUGAGAGAGAGAGAGAGAGAGAGAGAGAGAGAGAGAGAGAUUUAGGGCAUCCCACAAGUCGUGGUAGCAAACGAGGCCUAUUCUCUUCGUUAUGGCCGAGAAUUUCAUAGUGUACUCCACUUUAUAUAAUAGAUAAUUCCAUGGUUGGCUUGAAAAAUCUAGGUACACUAUGUAUAUAAUGAACUGUGAGACUUUAAUCAGGUGGGUUUUUGAGGUCUGUGUAGAGUGGUUUAAAAUUUCUCGACCUAAUCUGGCAACACUGCUGAUACUUGUUUGUUUACUCACGGCUCACCCACUCUAGGCCGUCAGCUGGGAGAACAGGAACCAUGAGGGUGUAAAAAGCUGCCGUCGAUAGAAAAAAACAAGGGUUUCAACCCAGACUUGUGGAUCACAUUAUCAUUGUUAAGCUGGGAAUAGAAUGGAUUGGCUAAAAAAGAAGAUAAAACAUGAUAAGAGAACACUCAAAAGAAGUGGUUCGCUGAUAUUAUGUGGCUAUAAAAGAAAAUUAUCCUCCUUAGCUGUGAGGGAUGACAGUUUACCUCAGCUCUGGGCACUGAGAAACUGCUGGGCAGGAGAGCAGUUGUGCCACUCUUAAACUGAACUUGCAGUGGCUGUUUGUAAUUAGCUGACUGAUACAGUGGCAUCAGGCAACAAGUCAAAGGCUGUACUGACAUUUGUAUACUGUGUUGAUCCAUAAGUCUCUCUCACAAACUCCAGAUUAUCAUUUGUGUCUGUUUCCAUUGUGGAGUGCCAAACUGAGGCAGCUCUUGGAAAUGGUCUACAAAAUUUAUUUCUAAAAAGAAUGUAAACAUUUAUGAUAGAUUAUGAUAAACUUGUUUGUUGAUCAUUGUUACUAGUGCAUAAGCUGAUGUGAAAAUGCUAUACAUUGCUAUGUGCAUGAAAACUAUGGAUAACUCAAGGCAUAUCGCCAAACUGUUACCAUCAUCUAGUCAUAGGAUUUGGAAAAAUAUCUUGGUAUAAUGAGGGCUCUAAUGAAAAGCUAUUUCAACUUCGAUGAAAAACUGUUCCAUAUAAAUCAUAGUGAAAGUUUGCUGUAUAUGUACUCAUUAUACAACAGUGUAUCAACAAUUCUUAGCAAGAUGAAUUUCUCAUUCCUGGAAGGGUGCAUGAACUAAUCAGGUUCCCCUUAUCUGUUAUCAGAUAGUAGUGUCAUAAACAAUGUAUUCAUACACACACACACACACACACACACACACACACUUUAAAGAAAAGUUAGAUAAGUGUAGAUAUGGAGACAGGGACACACAAGUAAAAUGCCCAGGUCCUGUAAAACUACAACUAGAUAAAUACAACUAGGUAAAUACACACAGAUAGGUCUGGGAUUUACACUUCGCCUUGGAUAGCCUGUAUCAAAAAUAUCUGCAAUGAAUGUGGCAUGUCAUGGUUAUGGUUAUUACAAGAUGUUCCUAAUGUUAUGUGGGUUAUAAAAGCUGUGCAGUUAAGAUUGAGGGACCAGUGGAUAGCAACUUGGUGAAGUAACCUUGCAACAAAGUCUUUAUGUAGCAAUUAUAGGAUGUUUAAAUUAGAUUAUGGUAUGGAAUGUUACAUUGUAAAACUGCAGAAGACUAGCUGCAUAUUGUUAACAAAGCUGAGAACUCUUAAUAAUAAGUUGCCUGUUAAUGUUGGUAGACAUCAUGGUGUUAGUAGAGAAAACUUGACUUUGCAGUAAAUGUGAUGUGGGUGUUGUUGGUGAUGAAUACCAUGUUUUCUUUGACUGCACCAAUUGGGACAUCGUGAGAUUAAGGAAUACGUAUUUGUCAGAGUGUUUUACGUAUAGGCCAACUUACUUUAAGUAUAUUCUGUUGAUGCAAAGCACAAAUGAGAAGGUUCUUCAAAAUCUGUCUCUGUUUUUGAAGUUAGUAUUGAAUAUGUUUAGAUAAGUACUGAAUGGGUGAGGUAAUUCUUUGUUUAUUGUUAUAUUUGAAAUGUAAAUCAGAGCUGUGCUCCAUACUUUUAUAAAGUCUGACCUACUAAAUUCAUAAAAAUUCAUAAAAUA